CCCCCACCUCGUCUGUCCCCCACUGGUGAACUGAGACACCGAAGACACACCGAAGAGUGUCAGAGAAUACAGAUCUGUACCAACUAGAACCAACAAUCAGAGACAGACAGAGACAGAGACAGGUAGAGGUAGGGACAGAGACAGACAGAGAGAGGUAGAGACAGAGACAGGUAGAGACAGAGACAGGUAGGGACAGAGACAGGUAGAG